AUUGAACGCUGGCGGCAUGCCUUACACAUGCAAGUCGAACGGCAGCACGGGGGCAACCCUGGUGGCGAGUGGCGAACGGGUGAGUAAAACAUCGGAACGUGCCCUGAAGUGGGGGAUAACGUAGCGAAAGUUACGCUAAUACCGCAUAUUCUGUGAGCAGGAAAGCAGGGGAUCGCAAGACCUUGCGCUUUAGGAGCGGCCGAUGUCGGAUUAGCUAGUUGGUGAGGUAAAGGCUCACCAAGGCGACGAUCCGUAGCGGGUCUGAGAGGAUGAUCCGCCACACUGGGACUGAGACACGGCCCAGACUCCUACGGGAGGCAGCAGUGGGGAAUUUUGGACAAUGGGCGAAAGCCUGAUCCAGCCAUGCCGCGUGAGUGAAGAAGGCCUUCGGGUUGUAAAGCUCUUUCGGCGGGGAAGAAAUCGCAUUCUCUAAUACAAGAUGUGGAUGACG
rnacentral:rRNA from 1 species